CAUUAAGGGAGAAGAAGAAGAAUCGCUACUGAAGAAGAGGAAUAUUUGAACUGGAGUCGGUUAUCGUUGCUGGAGACCGGAGAGCCGGAGAUCAACAAAGUUACAAAGAAAAAGAAGGAUAACCUUCUCUUCGUAAAUUCCAUUAGACACAGAAGGAAAAGAUGGCAGCUCCCUUCCUGGGACUAGUCGGGAGAGAGAACUCACAACACAGCACAGCCCAUCUUCACCAGAUCCAUCGAAUGAGGACACAGAGGCCACUGACCCUAAUGAGGAUGCCGAUGAGCAACAAGAGCCAGACCCAGAGCCAGCUGUCUCCAGCACUUUUGCUCAUCCAAGAGGACCCAGUGAUAUUUCCAGAUGCAAAGAGAAGGGACCAGUUCAGCCUUGUCUGACACAAUUGCUGUUGUUACUCCAGUCAGCACUGCUUCCUGUGAGAAGCUUUUCUGCUUUAAAACUGAUUAAAACUCUUCUCAGAACCACAAUGGCUGAUGACAGGUUAAGUCACCUUGGAACUCUCAGUAUUGAGUCAAGGAGGGCACGUGCCCUCAACAUGGAUGACUUUGUGAAACAUUUUGCGGCUUCUCACCAUAACCAAAGGAUUAUGCUUUUCUAAACCUUUUCUGAGAGAGACAGAGA